CAGAGACACAGAGAGAGAGAGAGAGAGAGAGAGAGAGAGAGAGAGAGAGAGAGAAUCUCACGCUUAAUGGGAGCAGUGGAAACUCAUCCUCGCACCUCGGGUUAGUGGCGUGUCGGCUUGGGGGGAACUGAGAGGCACUGCGGUGUUUUAAAUGCUACAAGGCGCUUUUGUCACUCGGCUUCGGUCUCUGUGUUUAACGUGUUCCAGUCUGAUCUGAUCUGAUCGCUGAUUCGGCGCUCGCUCACACUAACGCUACCUGAGGAGGCAGGAGGAGGAACAGCAGAGAGUUCAGCUGAAGAGCGCACAGACAGCAGUGGAAUAUUUCACAACUUCAUCAUGGAUGGAUUAAGCGCAACGUGUUGAGUCCAUCGUUUGCCGGUGUCUAGUUGGGAACAGAAGCGUGUGGGAAUGUCGUGGCUGCUGUGGGUGUGGAUCAGUGUGACCGUCAUGUUGGUCUGUGAUGCCACCUUCUAUGAAACCAUACACCAGCAUCUGGCACCACCUGGGACCAACAUCCAGAUCCUGGAAGGAGGGACAUGCGAGGUGAUCGCCGCACACAGAUGCUGUAACAAAAACAAGAUUGAGGAGCGAUCACAGACAGUCAAGUGUUCCUGUUUACCGGGAAAAGUAGCAGGAACCACGAGGAAUAAACCCUCCUGUGUGGACGCCUCUAUAGUGGUGGGGAAAUGGUGGUGCGAGAUGGAACCGUGUCUGGAGGGAGAAGAGUGCAAGACACUGCCAGACAACUCGGGCUGGAUGUGCUACUCUGGGAACAAGAUCAAAACCACCAGGAACACUCAUCCCUACACAUCGUUGUAGCAGUGGGAGCAAUUCAGUGCAAAACAAAGUUAAGCAUGGAGGAAGAGGUGUCAUGGUGUGAGGAGCCUUUUCAGCUGCUGCUACCGGAAAACAACAGGACAACAGUAGAAUAAACUACUUGCUGGAAGGAAGCUGAUGAACUUGAUGUUACAUUUCAGGCCUCUGUUUCAUUAUUCGACGUUCCACCCAAUAACAUGACCAUCGUCUGACUGAGGAAGUCUAUGGACCUUUUUUAAUUCAUGGUUUGACCAUUGUUUUUGCUAAUUUUGGUUUUACGCUCUUAAAACCAUGGUAAUCUGAGACUUUGCCCUGUUUGUUGCAGUUUGCCCAAAAUGUCAUCUUCAUUCACGAUGUUCAUUGUUUCCAGAAUUGACUGAGCUAACAAACUCAAAUCCAGUGGUUGAUAUAUGGCAUGCCUUUACGGAAAAAAGAAGACUUUGAAUAAGUGCGAGUGGGUAAAGCCUCAACAGGAACCAUUGAGGAGCUCAAUGCAUUACGACUGCCAUUAAAAUGGACUAUAAAGGAUAUGUGUACGACAAAUCUUAUCCUGCAAAUGUUCACAGACUCAUCUAACCACAGAUAUCUGAUAUUAUGUGGCUAGGCAAAAUGUAGAUGAAAUGUAAAGAUAAAAUGGCAGAUAAACAUAUAAUUGAGUUGGGGUAAAUGAAACUAUAGUUGUAAAACCACAGCCAACUGUGAAUUAAAAUUCACAAGCACAAUAAUGUAAAGUGUUUUGAAAAGAUGAAAUCAUUACCCUCCAUGUGCUCGUGACGCUGUAGUCCAGCUCUUGCUGAUUUUCCCUGUUUCUGGUUCAUUGAGCUAAUGAUAAAUUGAGCAUCAUUGAGAGGACUCCAGUGUGAAAGCUCUGAGACUUAUUAUCAAAGCUGACGAGGUCUAAUCGAAAUCUGCUGCUGCAUGCAGAUAUAAAAUAGCAUGGCAUUUAAAUACUCAGAGUCAGAUUUCUAUUCAGAAGUCUCGAGCUUUGCCUUCAUUAAACAGGUGGUAAAAUGUGAAAUGUUAAGAUGUCUUGUGCUCCGUAUUGGAGUCCCAAAGGUCCUGAAUGCUACUUCAGAGAAAAUCUGUUUGAUGAGAGGUAAUAGUCUUGGAGAGCCCCAAUGAGCAAAAAAAAAAAUAUUCUCAAAUUUUUUGUGCAAAUUUACUUUUUUGUUUUUUCUAUUUCUUUUUCUAGCCAAACCCAUGACACCAGUAAUAAAUUGUGAGGUUAAAUUUAAAAAGUGUAUAAAGUACAUUACAAUCAAUGAAAAACUGACCACAUUAUCUUUAGUUAAAUCCUUCUUUUUCCUACUGUGUUCUUUUUGUCCUGAUUGUUGAUAGAAAAUAAACUGGCAUAUCUCGAUAAAACCUAUAUGUUGAAGCAUGUAGAUGGGACUAAAGUAUCUCAUGAAAUACACCUGGGAUAUUCUCCUGAUGUCAAACAAAUACCAGUCAGAAAAUAGAUGGCUACAUUUACACCAUUUCACUGAUGUGCCAAGUCUCAAAUCAAGCACAAAAAUCUGCCAUGAUGCACACAUCCAGCAAUUAAAACCGUCCGUGUGGAAACACGGCAAGUUCA